rnacentral:rRNA from 1 species
GACGAACGCUGGCGGCGUGCCUAAUACAUGCAAGUAGAACGCUGAAGGAGGAGCUUGCUUCUCUGGAUGAGUUGCGAACGGGUGAGUAACGCGUAGGUAACCUGCCUUGUAGCGGGGGAUAACUAUUGGAAACGAUAGCUAAUACCGCAUAAUAGCAGUUAUUGCAUGAUAACUGUUUGAAAGUUGCAAUUUCACCACUACCAGAUGGACCUGCGUUGUAUUAGCUAGUUGGUGGGGUAACGGCUCACCAAGGCGACGAUACAUAGCCGACCUGAGAGGGGGAUCGGCCACAAUGGGACUGAGACACGGCCCAGACUCCUACGGGAAGGAGCAGUAGGGAAUCUUCGGCAAUGGACGGAAGUCUGACCGAGCAACGCCGCGUGAGUGAAGAAGGUUUUCGGAUCGUAAAGCUCUGUUGUAAGAGAAGAACGAGUGUGAGAGUGGAAAGUUCACACUGUGACGGUAUCUUACCAGAAAGGGACGGCUAACUACGUG